CAGAACGAGUGAACUAAUAUAUUUAGGCAGUGGCUAAACCCGAGACACUACACGUGCAGUGUCUCCCACUCGCCCUCCUACUCUGAUCAAAUAAAAAGACUCGGGUGUGUUGCUAAGCUUCUGGCAACAAAUGGCCACAAAUCGAUCAAAGGUGAAAGUGACAGUGAACCAGACAGAGCAGUCAGUGGCUGCAUAAAGCAGGGCGGCAUGGAUAUUACACACGGGGAUGGACACCAGGAAAUAAAACUGUUCUCGAUAAACAA